UACGGAGGGUGCAAGCGUUAAUCGGAUUUACUGGGCGUAAAGCGUGCGUAGGCGGCUUUUUAAGUCGGAUGUGAAAUCCCCGAGCUUAACUUGGGAAUUGCAUUCGAUACUGGGAGGCUUGAGUAUAGGAGAGAAGAGUGGAAUUCCCGGUGUAGCGGUGAAAUGCGUAGAGAUCGGGGGGAAUACCAGUGGCGAAGGCGGCCUUCUGGACUGAUACUGACACUGAGGUGCGAAAGCGUGGGUAGCAAACAGG
rnacentral:misc_RNA from 1 species